rnacentral:lncRNA from 1 species
GUAAAAAUGAUUAAGAUGUGAUAUGUAUAUGUACCAGUUCCCCAAGAUGAUUAAAAUUAUUAUGUAUUACAAACAUAUACCAAUAAGAAAGUGUAUCAGACAAGGUUGAAAACAUUACCUGUAAUUCCCUCACAGAAAACAGUCAGUGAUCUGGUGGAUAUGACCAUAUGCCUUAUUAGAGUUCCUAUCCCCUUUUUAACUGCUUACUAUUAUAUGUUAAACUAUAUACAAUAAAAGUCAUGGGUUGAUGGAUUAUUUACUUUUUGGUAGACUUCCCAUUCCCCAUUAUAUUUUAAGAUCAGUAUGAAGAAGAAUUAUAUGUCUAACUCUUUUGUAACCAAAGACUGAUAUGGAAUAAGGGGCUUGAUGAUUAUUUUCUGAUAAAAGCAUUUAUACCAUAAACAUUUAUAAGAUAAAUGUCCUCCCCUCUGUAUACUGAUACAGAAUAAGGAGGAAAGAAUGAUCUUCAGAGAAUACCUUAGUCCCUAGACGUCAUCUCUGGGAGAGAAAUGGCUCUCCGUCGUCUCACCUCUGUACAGUCCUUUAGAUACCACUUUCCCCAUCAGAUAAAAAUCUACCAGUUCAUUCUCUAGAAAAGUACUUUCCCUAAAAGAUAGAAAACAGUAUUUUGAAACACUAGCUGACUUCCUCCAAUUUCCCACUCUGAAAUGGUCUUUACCUUCCACAGGGGAGGUUUUCAGUCUACUGCAGAUAUUCUGUACCCCGCCAUAGUGGACAUUGAUCUGGGUCACUCCUUCACUUGCACGCAGCUCCAUGAGCUUCCUCAACUCCAUUAACGUGAAGCCAAAGUCCCCAUCAUGGCUCUCAGCUGUCGAGUUGGCCGGCAAGGCAUGUCCUGAUGGGUUCGUCAUUUUGCCUGUGGUUCCCAGCUCCUCAGCCAGAGAAGAUGAGGAGUCUCCCACUCAACUGACCAAUGUCCCUUGCCUUCUUGUCCCUGCCUUUUCCUGCUUCUUGCUUUUCUGAAGUCCCAGUUAGAAAACAGAGAGACAAUAUCUUGUCAGGAUAGCAACCCCAGCCUCAGAGCCUUUCUUCUGUACAAGGCCUGUCAAUGAGAAGAGGAAGAAGAUGGAGGAACCAAGAAGAAGUCGGACUCCGUGUCACGAUGAUUGGCGUCCCCUGGGUGGUGAUGGAAAUGGCUGUCCAGGUCAGGUAAGUUCCUAGUUUAGGCUGACUUGUCCAAGUGGAGCCGUAAACAGGAUCUGCAUGUUACAUGGAGGCAACCUUAGUGACAAUCAGCAACUGUGGUGGUAGAUCAGCAGCAGGAGGAGGAAGAGGAGAGCUCCCUGGAUACUGAUGACAACUGGAUCUCUAAAAC